rnacentral:tRNA from 1 species
GCCCCGAUAGUGUAGUCCGGCCAAUCAUCCAGCCCUCUCACGGCUGGGACACGGGUUCAAAACAAGCCUUUUCCUACGGGAAA